GGCAUAGAAGAAAAAGUGUGCGCUUAUAUGACUGAAGCGAGAAGAGAGAAAGGGACGAAAGGCGCGUAUUAGCGAGUUCGACUGCUGCGAUGGGUUUGAUAUUAAAUUUUUGUAAAAACAUACUCAUGCGACUUCUCUUCCUAAACAUCUGCUUAGAGUUCGACUGCUAGGAGCCUGUGACUUCUCUUCAAGAUGACCGAGGAUGAUCCUGCUGAAACUAAGCUUGGUAUGUUAUUCAGUUCCUCUCCAAGACAAGCUGAAGAUCCCUCCGGUCUAGAAACCACUACUCCAACUUCUAGCCUUUGGUCAUCACGAGCUACGAGAUGCGUCGUCGUCUCAGAAGGUGAGAGUUGAAGUCCAUACAGGUGGCUUCCUGACUGUUAAUUGGAUUAAUUUCUUAUU